rnacentral:lncRNA from 1 species
CUUCCCGGAGUUUUAGCUCAUCAGCUUUGGCCAUGUCAAACUGUUGCAGAGAUGAAGACAACGACAAGGAGAGCCCUUUUCCUUCUACUGGCCCUCCACCAAAGGACGCCUCUCCUCCGAAGGACUGGGGAUGGUGGUGGUGGUGGUGGUGGAGUGUGGGAGGAGCCGCUUGUGGAGGUGGAGAGGGAGACCUCGGUUGUGGCGGCGGCGGCGCUGGCUGUGGUGGAUUCAUCAGAAAAAGCUGCAUCGCAGCAGCCGAGUCGGCGUUCAAGCCCAUCAACGGAUGUUGCUGGCCGCCAUCAUGGUGGUGCUUCGACGUCGAUUCA